ensembl:lncRNA
AGAAGUGUUGGGGUUUUCUGCUCCCAGAACUUCAUUGUUAAAGAAAGGAGGAGGAAUUUGUCCUUCCCUCCACUUGGCAAGCAAUGCGCAUGUUCCUUUCUGUAAACAGCAGACUAAUUUGAGCAGUGAGCAGCCCCCACUGGCUUCUGGCUUUUACUAACUGUAGGCUGAGGGCUCAGUGCAACAAAAACUUGAGUUGCCCACAGAACAGCUACUCUGAUUCAGAUGAAAGCUGGGGAGGACUUCGGUCCUUCUUGGAAAAUACUUGUGCUUUUUUGUUGAUUGUUCUUGUUCCCAACAGAGACAGAAGUGAACUAAUCUCCCAAACUGGGAUGCUCAGAGAUGUCCAAAGUGAGAUAGGACUGGCAAGAAUACAAUACACAGAUUAAUAAGGAAGUCAUUAAGGGAUAGAAAAGCUCUGAUGUGAUGGAGUGGCUUUUAGUUUGAAGAAAAAUAGAAUGUCUUGCUCCUGAGUACCCUGAACAAUGAAGAUGAAGAUACCUGUUCCAGAAAGUAGACUUGGACCCCCAAGUUGUUUCAUACUUAGGUCCUGGGAAAUUAACUGCAAGGAGCCACUGUAAGGUGCUAGACCUGAAGUUCCCAUCCUGUGGUCCAAGAAAAGCUGGCACAUCACAUGCAACAAAAUGGAUAGAGGAUGCUGCCUUUUGCAUGCCAUGUGAAGAAGCCAGAGACAGAAUGGAACGGAAAUCUGAGAACAGAUUUGGAGUGGCAGAGUUGCACAUGAAGCAUGUAGGAUGAGGUGCCACGUGGCAACAGCUUUCUCUUCUGGCUGUGCUGAGGAGCUCUCAGCACACUGUACUCCCACCUGCCAUUGCAGCAGCUCAUGUGUGGAGGCACCUCUGGAGAACACCAGGUCCAAACCCCAGCCCAAAGCAGCGCCUCCUGGAACUACACAGGGCCAUGGCUGAGUGAGAUCACAAUGGUGGCUGAGAAAUCUUUGUUGCUCCCUUUUCUCCCAUCAGCAACACUCAUAUCCAGGCUGAAUAAAUCCUUCAACAGCAUUCUUUGCUUGUGGCCGUUUGAUGUGCUUCCAAGCAGCUACAAACAUGGGAGACACCCAAACUGCUUAGUGCCAGAAAGGCUGAAACUGCACUGCCAUGGGAGCCUGAACGGCAGAGGGGCCACCUGGCAGUGCCCUGCAGGACCCAAGGUGCUCACCCACCCACUACGCAAGAAGCUCCUCAUGUCCUUCCGCUCUGCGGUGGGCAGCACCUGGAGUGCCUUUCCUAGCUCUGAUUCUAUUCUUCUGCUCCAAAGCAACAAGCCAAACUCCCCACCAGCAUUCAACCUCCGUGCCAAAAAGAAAAUAACAAGAGUAAAAGCACUGCACAACAGAAACACAUAGGACAGUGAAGAGGCUGGGAUUGCUGGGGAGUCCAGCAUAGUCGCGUCGGGGUGCUCAGGUCGGUGCUGCUGCAGCAUUCAUCCAGGCCAAUGGGGAAGGUAGGUGGUUGGUGGCUGUGAGCACCUCCCCUGGAUGGAAAAUGACACCUCUGCACAGCUCUGGACAUUUCUGAAUGCCACAGGAGGUUGGGGAGACCAGCCCAGCUGGAAAGAGGGUAGACAUGCUCCAGCAUCAAUGCCAUCAGCUCUGACAAGGUCCUGGCUGGCUGCAGCACGCUGAUGUCCUCAUAAACCAAGGCUCUCUCUCUGAUGGCUGUGCAAACGAGAAGCUGGGCUUAACUGGAGCACAGUGCUGUUGCUGGCUUUAACUCUCCAAUGAACUCUCCAAUUCCCAUUUUCCCAGGGCAGUUCAGCGCCAGGGUAAAUCAGUGCAUGUGUGCAGCCCUGCUGCCAGCUGGCUGCUCCUGCCUGCAGCGGUGUCUGGUCACAGCUCUGGGGAUGUGCCCUGCAAGUCCCCCCUUGGCAGCACCUCCUGCCUGCCACGCUCACUUCCUUCAGCCUUUGCCUUUCUCCCUGCUCUGGUCCUCUGACUUCAGAACAUGGCUUUCUGUUUUAGUUCACUUCUGUAUUUAUACUGGGCCAAACUGACUGGAUACUUUCUGAACAGGGUGACCUAGGAGUUUUGAACAGACCAUCUUGUCAAAAGUUCUGUUAUUUCCCUUACCAAUGUGGUUUGAUUUGUUUUAUUUUCUUUUUUCUUGGUAAAACUGUCAAUAGGAACCACUUUUUGAAAGUCAGAAGAUGCAAAGCAGACCUUCCACAAGGAUUCCCCAAGGAGCAGAGAAUUUGAGGAUCACUGCGAAGGGCAUCAUUGCUCCUUGCUGUUCAUCCCAAACUGUCUUCAUUCUCUCACCCUGUGUAUUCCUGCACAACGGGACUGAGGGAAGUGCAUGAGAUCUAUUGCUGAACUGUGGUGUGGAUAGACUUUGUCUUCCUCAGCUAGCAUUCUGUCACCUUUCAAGAGUGAAAAAUUCAUUUUUAAAACAAAAAUCCCAAGUAAGAAACCUCACAUAGUUGCAGGAAACCACCACAGAGGUAUACAAUAUCCAGCGGAAGACCUUGCUGAAAACUGAACAGAUUACUCUUGUUAUAUGUGGUUAAACUGGGCCAUUAAUGCUAAAACAGUUCAAAGCACAAAAUAAAUUCUGAUUUUCUCCUGUCAAAGUUGGUGGUUUGGUGUUCACACAUUCUAGGCUCCGGUUAAAUGAUUUACUGUACAAUUUAAUGCCUUUCAGCUGUCACUCGCAAAAAGGAUCCCUUGAAUGAUCUGCCAGUGAAUGAAGGCAGCACUUGCCCAGGGUGAAGUGUGGCCAGGGCUGCAGGACCCAACUUGCCAAGAUACUCAGGAACAAUCACGUAAGCCACUGUGACCCAUGUGUGGUACCCAGCGAAGUGAAGGCCACCUUGCUGUGAUCACAUCUGCAAAACCACUUCAUUUAAAGCAUACUGAGACGUUCACUCUGCUGUGGAACUUUUACGAGCAACUGCCUUUACAACAGCUCGCACCAUAGGCACGCUGCUAUUCUUUGUCCUUCUUUUGAACUCUUCUCUGCUCCCGGUCUUCCAGCGGUGUGAUUUUUUGAAGUUUUCCUUCACAAUAGCUUCUCAAAAUCCCAGUUCUCACAUAUCAACACAAAUAGGAGAAACAGUUGCCAUGGGACAGUGAAAAACAUAUUUCAGGAGCUCAGGAGCAAAGAAGGAAAUAAAAAAGGCACUGGAUUUCAGCAGUUACGUGUUGUAGUGUUUGACGUAGCUCUGAGUUCUUUGCUUUGUCUCUAGCUGCAGUGGUACUGUGCCUCUCAUGUUCAGCAGUGGGUGCACUCAGCAGUGGGUGCAGCUCUUAGCAGUGACCUCAUGGGGACACAGCAGUGCCCAGCACUGCAGCCAUGUUCUGUGGAACAGAGAGAAUACUGGUGUCACCUAAAACU